GCUGGGCGUGGUGGCACAUGCCUGUAGUCCCAGCUACUCCAGGGGCUGAGGUGGGAGGAUUGCUUGAGCCCAGGAGUUCUAGGCUGUAGUGCACUAUGCCGAUCGGGUGUUCACACUAAGUUCGACAUCAAUAUGGUGACCUCCCAUGAGUGGGGGACCACCAGGUUGCCUAAGGAGAGGUGAACCGGCCCAGGUUGGAAAUGGAGCAGGUCAAAACUGGCAUGCUGAUCAGUAGUGGGAUCUCGCCUGUGAAUAGCCACUGCACUCCAGCCUGGGCAACAUAGUGAGACCCCCAUCUCU
rnacentral:SRP_RNA from 1 species